GUGGGGAAUUGUUCGCAAUGGGCGCAAGCCUGACGACGCAACGCCGCGUGGAGGAUGAAGAUCUUCGGGUCGUAAACUCCUGUCGAGCGGGAAGAACACCUUUCGGGCGAAUAUCCCGGAAGGCUGACGGUACCGCUAAAGGAAGCCCCGGCUAACUCCGUGCCAGCAGCCGCGGUAAUACGGGGGGGGCAAGCGUUGUUCGGAAUUACUGGGCGUAAAGGGCUCGUAGGCGGCCAACUAAGUCAGACGUGAAAUCCCUCGGCUCAACCGGGGAACUGCGUCUGAUACUGGAUGGCUUGAAUUCGGGAGAGGGAUGCGGAAUUCCAGGUGUAGCGGUGAAAUGCGUAGAUAUCUGGAGGAACACCGGUGGCGAAGGCGGCAUCCUGGACCGAGAUUGACGCUGAUGCGCGAAAGCCAGGGGAGCAA
rnacentral:rRNA from 1 species